rnacentral:rRNA from 1 species
CCUACGAGUGGCAGCAGUGAGGAAUAUUGGUCAAUGGCCUGAAGGCUGAACCAGCCAAGCCGCGUGAAGGACGAAGGUGCCAAGCAUUGUAAACUUCUUUUGUCAAGGGACAAAAUCAGGCUCGAGAGCCUGACCGAGGGUACUUGAAGAAAAAGCAUCGGCUAACUCCGUGCCAGCAGCAGCGGUAAUACGGAGGAUGCGAUCGUUAUCCGGAUUUAUUGGGUGUAAAGGGUGCGUAGGCGGGCUGUUAAGUCAGCGGUAAACGCCCGGGGCUCAACCCCGGCGAGCCGUUGAAAACGGCUGUCUUGAGAUGGCGAGAGGCAUGCGGAAUGCGCAGUGUAGCGGUGAAAUGCUUAGAUAUUGCGCAGAACUCCGAUUGCGAAGGCAGCAUACCGGCGGCGAUCUGACGCUGAGGCACGAAAGCGUGGGUAUCGAACAGGAUUAGAUACCCCUGUAGUC